AAUGAACGCUGGCGGCAUGCCUUACACAUGCAAGUCGAACGGCAGCAUGACCUAGCUUGCUAGGUUGAUGGCGAGUGGCGAACGGGUGAGUAAUGCAUCGCAACGUGCCUUUUUGUGGGGGAUAACGUGGCGAAAGUUACGCUAAUACAGCAUAUUCUCUGAGGAGGAAAGAAGGGGGCCUUCGGGCCUUGCGCUAGAAGAGCGGCCGAUGUCGGAUUAGCUAGUUGGUGAGGUAAAGGCUCACCAAGGCAACGAUCCGUAGCGGGUCUGAGAGGAUGAUCCGCCACACUGGAACUGAGACACGGCCCAGACUCCUACGGGAGGCAGCAGUGGGGAAUUUUGGACAAUGGGCGCAAGCCUGAUCCAGCCAUGCCGCGUGAGUGAAGAAGGCCUUCGGGUUGUAAAGCUCUUUCGGCUGGGAAGAAAUCGCACUCUCUAAUACAGGGUGUGGAUGACGGUACCAGCAGAAGAAGCACCGGCUAACUACGUG
rnacentral:rRNA from 1 species